UACGAAGGGGGCUAGCGUUGCUCGGAAUCACUGGGCGUAAAGGGUGCGUAGGCGGGUCUUUUAAGUCAGAGGUGAAAUCCUGGAGCUCAACUCCAGAACUGCCUUUGAUACUGAGGAUCUUGAGUUCGGGAGAGGUGAGUGGAACUGCGAGUGUAGAGGUGAAAUUCGUAGAUAUUCGCAAGAACACCAGUGGCGAAGGCGGCUCACUGGCCCGGUACUGACGCUGAGGCGCGAAAGCGUGGGGAGCAAACAGG
rnacentral:rRNA from 1 species